CCCUUAGAUGUCCGGGGCCGCACGCGCGCUACACUGAUGGAAUCAGCGUGGCUUUCUCCCUGACCCGAAAGGGUUGGGAAACCCGUUGAAUCUCCUUCGUGAUAGGGAUUGGGGCUUGAAAUUGUUCCCCAUGAACGAGGAAUUCCCAGUAAGCGCGAGUCAUAAGCUCGCGUUGAUUACGUCCCUGCCCUUUGUACACACCGCCCGUCGCUACUACCGAUUGAACGGUUUAGUGAGGGCCUCGGAUUGGUCUCGGCCCGCUCUUUACCGGGCGGCGCCGUUGGUCGAGAAGACGCUCGAACUUGAUCGUUUAGAGGAAGUAAAAGUCGUAACA
rnacentral:rRNA from 1 species